UGUCCGAGCGUCUGCCAACCGUGAGUCGUCGCCAUGGCGCGACGAGAAUGGGGAACUGCGGCGUGCAAUGUGCGCCGCACUCCCUGAAGAUUUGAGGACCGGUGCGGUUUCCCGCCGUACGAGACGGUCUGCGACAACGGCGCACAGUGUUGUCGUUCCGUGCUCGUGCAGGUCGGGGCGAGUGCCGGUCGGACGCGAUCAGGUGGUGUCUGCCAAUCUGGACCUCGGAUCAGGCCAGGCUACCCGCUGAAUUUAAGCAUAUCAAUAAGCGGAGGAAAAGAAACUAACAAGGAUUCCCUUAGUAACGGCGAGCGAAGCGGGAAUAGCUCAAAUUUGAAAUCUCCGGUGCCUGCACCGGCGAAUUGUAGUCUGUAGGGCCAGUUUCGCCCGACGCGGUGUCCCCAAAGUCGUCCUGGAAAGGCGGGCCGGAGAGGGUGAGAGCCCCGUGUGCGGGGGCGUCGCGGAAGGUAAGAUCUGUGCCCGAAGAGUCGGGUUGUUUGGGAUUGCAGCCCAAAAUGGGUGGUAAACUCCAUCUAAAGCUAAAUACUGGCACGAGACCGAUAGCGAACA
rnacentral:rRNA from 1 species